AGGCCAACAAAAGCCCCCCUCCCUUUUCUUUUCACCUGGUCGAUCACACACACACUCAAUACCAAAAUCACUCUCAAAUCCUUUCUUCUUAUCUUCUAAAUUAACUUUUGCAAAGAGAAAUCAGGGGAAAGAAGUUAUCAAGUUAUUAUAACAAAAUCAUUUGGCAAGGGAAGUAUUAACAUCUUCAUCUUCUUCAAAUUAUUCAAGAACAUAAAUUGGUUUUGGAUAACGUGGAGAAUUGAUUGUUGAUCUUCUCGAGCUACAGUGUACCUUUUAGCACUUAGAUCGCUAAGGGACCAACAGUAAGUAUUGGAAACAUAUAUGGUAUUUUAGAAGCCAUCUUUUGAACAUUGGACGUACAAUUAGCGUCAGACUUCUGAGGACUAACGUAUUAUUAGUCCUGAUUGUACGAGACUGUCCAAAUGUUGUUAUUGUAUUAAGUGGUCCCAUUUCCAAUUGAGGAUAGAUUGUAUCCGUGUAUUGGGGUCCACAUCUAAACGAUUAUACUUGUAAUAAACUCGUAUUUGGAUUAAUGGAUGAAAUCUCUAUUUACCUUCUCA